GUUCUGGGAGAGGCAAGUUGUCAUACUGUGGAGGGGCUCACAUGGCAAGGAACUGAGGGAGGUCUCCAGCUAGCAGCCCACAAGGAACUGAGGUUCUCAGUCCAACAACACCUGAAGAGCUGAAUCCUGCCAACAACUGCAUGAGUGAGCUUGAAAACAAUCAUCCCAUAAUUCUGGAAGACACCUUGACUACAGCCUUCCAAGAGACACUGAGCCAGAGGCACCUACCUAAGCCAAGGUCAGAUGUCUGACUACAGAAGCUCACUGAGCCACCAUGUAAGAAGUUCAGCUACCCUGCUGGGGGGAGUACCAAGAGAGACUCUGUGACUACAUGGAGGGGAAGAGGGUGCAGUCAGCCUUACAGCCAUUUUCGCCAAGGUACCAGCUAUAUUCCCUUUAAUGUGAACGCCAUACAAACACAUCACUAUCCAUAGCCUCAGCUCUUAACAACAAUCUGGAUCAGCAUACAGCUCUCAGGAUUCGUGAACCAUACAACAAAAGGCCUAAGAUGUACCUUCUACAAGAAAAUGAAUCAUUGAAAGUGCCAGUAUUUCUCUCUGGCUGAGCAUGCCAAUUAAUACACGCCAAGGUCAUGGAGUAAUUCAGUUGGGUAUGACAUGUAGAAAAGCCAAAGAUCAUUUAUUGAACUUCAGUCUUGAUACCACAGUACUUAUCAAAAGAUCUUACAAUAAAGCACCAAAGAAACAUUACUAUGGCUGUAUCUGAAGUUCACCAAUACCCAAUAACAAGAUGGAGUGUUGCAGUAGUGUGACAUACUGAGAAUGUGAUAAUCUAGGUGAGCAUCCAAGUAAUUAGCGAGCUAUUGAGUACAGCCCAAUUGAGCUAUUGAGUAACUUGCACAAUAUGACAGGGAAAGUAAAUGCAUGUGCAUCAGCUUUCUGUAAGUUUCGCACAACAAACAUAGGGUGUGGGCAAAGUACUUUAUAAUCAUCAUAAUCAGCUGGACUUCAGCCGAUAAUCUAGAAACACUGGGCUAAAUACCCAGAUGUCUGCACUAUCUUUAAUCUGGCAUUAAUUACCUCCUUCCUUCCAAAACAUAGCCCUUGAAACUUUGCCCUUAUUUUAAAUAAU